rnacentral:rRNA from 1 species
GACGAACGCUGGCGGCGUGCUUAACACAUGCAAGUCGAACGGUGAAGCGCCUUCCUUUUUGGUGGGUGUGGAUGAGUGGCGAACGGGUGAGUAACACGUGAGUAACCUGCCCCCUUCUGCUGGAUAACCGCAUGAAAGUGUGGCUAAUACGGGAUAUUCUGGGUCUGUCGCAUGAUGGGUCUGGGAAAGAUAUUGUUUCGGUGGGGGAUGGGCUCGCGGCCUAUCUGCUUGUUGGUGGGGUGAUGGCCUACCAAGGCGGUGACGGGUAGCCGGCCUGAGAGGGUGGACGGCCACACUGGUACUGAGCCACGGCCCCGCCUCCGACGGGCGGCAGCAGUGGGGAAUAUUGCACAAUGGGCGCAAGCCUGAUGCAGCGCCGCCGCGUGGGGGAUGGAGGCCUUCGGGUUGUGACCCUCUUUCGCCAGUGAAGCAGGCCUGCCUCGUUUGUGGGUGGGUUGACGGUAGCUGGAGAAGAAGCGCCGGCUAACUACGUG